rnacentral:rRNA from 1 species
UGCGCAAGUCAUUGGGACUUUGCGAAGCCUAAAGGCGAAAUGAAAGUAAAGGUUCGCUCGCACCUCGGUGCGGACGGACCAAGGGAGGAUGGGGCGCGUCACGGCGCGCCUCCGCACUCCCGGGGCGUCUCGUUCUCAUUACGAGAUGAGGCGCACCAUGAGCGUACACGCUGGGACCCGAAAGAUGGUGAACUAUGCCUGUUCAGGACGAAGUCAGGGGAAACCCUGAUGGAGGUCCGUAGCGAUUCUGACGUGCAAAUCGAUCGUAAGAAAUGGGUAUAGGGGCGAAAGACUAAUCGAACCAUCUAGUAGCUGGUUCCCUCCGAAGUUUCCCUCAGGAUAGCUGGCACUCAACUGAAGUGAGUUUCAUCCGGUAAAGCGAAUGAUUAGAGGCAUUGGGGUCGAAACGGCCUCAACCUAUUCUCAAACUUUAAAUGGGUGAGAUCUCCGGCUUGCUUGAUUGCUGAAGCCGCGAGAAUAGAAUCAGAGUGCCAAGUGGGCCACUUUUGGUAAGCAGAACUGGCGCUGUGGGAUGAACCAAACGCAGAGUUAAAGCGCCUAAAUCGACGCUUAUGGGAUACCAUGAAAGGCGUUG